UCUAAAAAAAAAAAAAAUAGAAGGCCUUUCCCAUCUUCACCUUUUUAGACUAUGGUUUUGUGCCAACAGUGGCCUACUGAAUGCUGUGCUUCAGAAAGAUGCAGAUUUGCCCCAUCACAGAUACCUGGAAAAGCAGACGCAGUACUUAAAUGGAAAGCUGCAGGAUUCUGCAGAGCAGAAGGCAUGGGAGAACAGACCAUAGCGUGUGCUUCCCGAAGUGCAGUGUCCUCAAAUCCGUGAGUUCAACCCUAUCUCUCCAAGUCUCCAUUGGUUCGGGAAGCCAAGCAUCAAUCUGUGAGGAGAGGGAGCAUGCGUAGUUUGACAGCGCAUCGUCUGCCAGGGUACCACUAUUCCUCUUUAUCCAGGUUCCAGAAGCCUGGACACCCUGACUCAGCCCAGCACUGUGGUCUCAUAGCUUUCUGAGCAACACCACAAGAAGCCCGUUUCCCAGAACACACUUGAAUCCUUCUGUGGGUGUCUGCAGGACUUUGGAGGAUGUUGGCUACAAGCACUUUGAGAGAAUUAUGGCAAGACAAAAAUACAUCAGUGCAUACCAAAAUCAACAUAAAGUUAAAUUUAGAAAGAGACAUCACAAAAAGAAUGGAUUUAGUUAUAUCUGUGAUAUACAACAUUAUAAAAACAAACAAUUAAACAAAAAUCCCAAUAAGGAUGAAGAUUCAAAGUACUUCUCUAGUCUGAUGUCAGGAUUAGCCUCAGACCAUACGAUGGCCAGUGAGGAUCCUGACAUUUUCCAUACAUAUGAUAUAGUUUCUGAAUAUUUUUAUUGAGUUUUUACCCCACAAAUAUAACAAAGGAAAGUUUAAGAAUAUUUUCUUGUGUAACAACACUUCUCAUGAAGUUUGGCUUCUUAGAAAAACCCAAUUAUCUUUUGAACCCUGCGUUUACAUGGUAAAAAAUCUUUUGUGAGUUUCUAGGGGCCCUCUGGGACAUUUGAGUCAAUUUUAAGUGCAAAAGAUACCAUUUAGGUGAUCUGAGGCAAGAGGAUCAUAUAUUCAAGGUAUGUCUGGGCUAAGAAGUGAGCUCAGGAUCUGUAUAGGUAACUUAGACACUGUCUCAAAUCAAAUAAUCAAAUAAAAUAAUAAUAACAAUGAAAAAGAUGAACAGGACCUCAGUGGUGGCAUGUUUGUCUAGCAUGUGUGCGGACCUGGAUUAAAUUCCUAGUACCUCUAUCCUGACCACCACCACUACCACCAACAAAAACAAACGAAAAACCUGUUUACAGUUAGGAUUUGAGAAGGGAAAAUAUCAGAUGUUGCCUGGAUAUUUGAGUACUUUGUGAAAUCAGAACUUGGAAUAAAAUGACAAAAGACUUCAAUUCACUGUCUGGCACAGAUGAAACAAUUAAAUAAAGCAAAGCAGACUUCAAAAGUAAAUGUAGGAGUCACAUAAUUAUAGAAAAAAACCAUCCUGACUUCUUCUGAAAAUGAGAAUAUUCAAUUUUUAACCAAAUAAUCAAAGACUGGGAGAGGGCUCACAGUGGGAAAAGCAUCCACUCUGCAAGUGUCAGGGCUGGAGUUCAGAUCCCUAGAACUCAUGGAAAAGGCAGGUGGGUAUGGCAGCUGUAUGUAACCCCAGCACUCAGGCAGUCUGGAUGCCGGGAGCAAGCAGCUAGACUGGCUGAACUGGCAAGCUUUGGGUUAACUGAAGGCCCUGUCUCAGCAAACAAAGUACAAAGUGAUCAAAGGAGGUAACUGACUUUGACUUUGUGCCUGCACAUGCAUG